GAGAAAACAACUGUCUGUGCAGAGAAAUAUGGCAGCAGAGAUACUGGAGACAUGUUAUCUGCUUUUGUUAACGACCCUCCGGAGUCAGUUCUACCUCAAGUGUCCUCCUGCCCUGCGACACUCGGGACGAUGGAAGGAGACAAGCUCAGUCAAGAUGCAGAGGAAAGCCUCGUGGUCUGAUCAAGGCAUGGAGGGGCUGGAGUUCCCGCCAUAGAGACGGGCAGUGGGCCUCCCGCAGGAGAGGCAGCGGCCGGGCUGCUCUAUGACGUCUCGCCAGCGCGCGGGAGCAGGCGGAGUUCUGGCGGGCUGGCUACGCGGCUCACGGGUGCAGCUCACGGCGCAGGCGCAGCGCCUCAGCGCCCAGGCCCGCCGCCAUCUUGGGUGGAGCACCGAGCGCCGCGCCUCUGCGCACGGCCCCAGGCUGAGGGGCCGGGGCCGCCAUUUUGAGGCGGGAACUCUGGUCUCAGUGGCCGGGUUCACGGCCUCUGCGUGCAGCCGCCUGUGAGCCAGUGACACCAGAGGAAGCACAAAGGGAUGACGAAAAAGGAAAUCAGGAAGUCCCCCCAAAAACAAGAAAGACUGGAAAAAUGAGCAGGAACCAAGUUAUGUCAGAGGAACCACUUCAAGGUCACUGUAGAGGAAUUCUACCUCUUGUUAAGACACUAUUCUCCAAGUGCCACGGCCACUGCUGCUGCUGGACAUUUCUGCCAUUGGGCUCACAACACUGUCCCAAGACCUUUGCCACCAGUCCUCACUAAGGGAACUGCUUCUAGAGCCCCAAGGUUUAAGUGCAAAAAGAUGAGCUUAUCAACAAAGCAGGUGUGGAUCCAUGGAACACCUGAAGAGAUCAAACUCAAAGCCGUGGUGAACUGCAGCUGUGACUCUCCGUGGUUACCCACUUGGCUCUCUGGGUACAGUGUUCAUGCGUUUCUGCUUGCCACCACCUGCCCCAGAGUUAAACUCGGAUGAUGCAACUGGCCAGUCCUCGGAGAUUCCUCUAGCCCAGAAUUUCUCCCCCUCAGAAUUCCUGAUGUUUUGAGCAGAUGAAUAUUCAUCAUGGCAGGCGCCAUGGGCAUUGAAGGACCUUCAGCUGCAUUCCUGCUCUCUCCCGGUCCACACAGUGAGAUAGCACACGUCUCUCCCUGAGCUGUCAAGACCAGAACAGCUCUAAGCACUGCCAAAUGUGCCCUGGGCAGGGGCAAAAUCACUGUCAGUUGAAAACCACUGUUCUAAUCCUUGCUGAAUAUUAGAAUUACCCUUGAUGCCAUCCCAAUGGAAUCAGAAUCUUUGGGCACGGACCCCAGGUGCCAGCAUUGGAAAAGCUACCCAGGGGUUUUAAACCAUAGCCCAGGUUGAGAAUUUCCAUCCUAAAGCAACUGGUCUAAUAUUGCUAUAGAGCUUCUUAAAGUCCUUCUCAGAUAUUUUUAUAACCGGGCCCUCCACUUAGCAACACAUGAGCAGCUACUACGCAGAAACAAUAUUAGCUAUAAUGUCAAGUACCAUCUCAUGGAAUUUGCAAUUUAAUGAGGUCAUGAGAGUGCGAGGGAAAUAAAUUGUUUUUCAUGUGUGAGUACGUAUGGAAAAAUACCUAGAAAAAAGACCUAAAAGAAAUGAGAAAUGAGUGCUGAUCUGUGGAAGGAGGGCAGGGGAGUUAAUAGACAGGUGGGACCUGGGGAGCUCAUCAGGGGUGAAGAGCCACACGACCUUUGAGAGGACAGGAGAGGGGUAGGGCAUUGUGAUUUUUUGAAGAGCCCAGUAUAUUUUUUAAUGAAGAGGAUUAUGAAUGCUACAGUAUAUGUUCAGCACUGAUCUUUUUUAAAUACCAGCUUUAUUAUAACACACACACCAUAAAAUUCACCAUUUCAAAGUGUACAAUCCAGUGAUUUUUAGUAUAUACACAGAAUUAUGCAAUCGACACCACUAUCAAAUUUCAAAAUAUCUUCAUCACCUUAAAAACAAACCCCAUACUCAUUAGUAGUCACCCUCCAUUUACUGCAACCACCCCAGCCCCUGGCAACCAGUAAUCUGCUUUCCGUCGUAGAUUUGCCAAUUCUGGACAUUCUGCAUCAACAGAUUCCUGUAAUAUAUGGCCAUUUGUGUCCAGCUACCUAGACAGCAUCUGAAAGCAAAGCAAAAUGAAAGGGAAAACAAAAUCUCCCUCCCAAGAGGCAGUUUAGCCUAGAGCCCAAAAGGUAGGCUUUGGCACCGGACAAAAUUUCAAAUUAAAUCAAGUCCUAACCCUCUAGCUGUUUGAUCUCAAGCAGACACCAUUGGUCGACCCCCCAACACCCUUCUCAAUGUCCAACUCUCACCAUAGAGACUGGAAAGUCUAAGUAGCAUUGUCCCAGGUCCUCCACAGUUUUGCCAAUGGAAAGUCUCAGAUAGCUCCUAGGAAGGAUAUUUCCUUCCACGGUUAGAGACGUACUGGAGGAAAACAUCGUGUCAUUUGUCCUCUCCUUCCUUCCUUCCUUCAAAGGAUGUGUGAAGGCAGGAAGCUCGGACACACGGCUGCCAUGCUGUGUCCAUGAGGGAAAGGCUGAGAAGAUCCAGAAAUGCCAGCCUAGAUUCUGAUUCUGUUGCUACAGAUCCGGUAGCAGCAACUGUCUUCUCAGUGAUUAGUUAUGCCUGGAAAAUAAGCCUUUGUAUGUCAAAGCUACUGUUACUUGGGUUUUGGUUACUGGAAGCAUCAAAUUACUGCAACAGGAAGUUACUUCACUUCUGUGCACAAGUUCACACAUUGGGGCAGAGCUCCCUCGCCUUUAUCUCAAG
ensembl:lncRNA